rnacentral:rRNA from 1 species
CAGCAGCCGCGGUAAUACGAAGGGUGCAAGCGUUACUCGGAAUUACUGGGCGUAAAGCGUGCGUAGGUGGUGGUUUAAGUCCGUUGUGAAAGCCCUGGGCUCAACCUGGGAAUUGCAGUGGAUACUGGGUCACUAGAGUGUGGUAGAGGAUAGUGGAAUUUCCGGUGUAGCAGUGAAAUGCGUAGAGAUCGGAAGGAACAUCUGUGGCGAAGGCGACUAUCUGGGCCAACACUGACACUGAGGCACGAAAGCGUGGGGAGCAAACAGGAUUAGAUACCCCGGUAGUCCCUGUCUCUUAUAA